UACGUAGGGACCAAGCGUUGUCCGGAAUCAUUGGGCGUAAAGAGCGUGUAGGCGGCCUGUUAAGUCUUGCGUGAAAUCUCGGGGCUCAACCCCGAGCGGUCGUGAGAAACUGGCAGGCUAGAGUGCGGGAGAGGAGAGUGGAAUUCCUGGUGUAGCGGUGAAGUGCGCAGAUAUCAGGAAGAACACCCGUGGCGAAGGCGGCUCUCUGGAACGCAACUGACGCUGAGACGCGAAAGCGUGGGGAGCAAACAGG
rnacentral:rRNA from 1 species